CUGACGCUUAUUCUUCUUCUUCUUCUCCCCCCCGUUUUGGCCGCCUCGAUUUACCUUCUUGAUAUGAGGACGGCGCAAGCCCGGGGCUCGCACGCGACCUCCCGGCCUUUUAAAGCCCGGCUUCCGCGACCUGGCGUCGAGGGCGGAAUUCUCCGAGCGUCCUCCUUUGGGCUUUCCUCCCGCUCUUCUUUUCCGUUUUCUCUUCUUCGGAGGAGGAACGGGGAGAGGGUGUAGAGGCGGUUCGUUGGUCGGGGUGUUCGACGAGGUCCGCUUCAUCGGCGUUCGGGGCGGGAGCUCGCUGGCUCGGGACGAGCGGCGGGUUCUCCGAGCGCACCUUCUGGUACCCGAAAGAUGGUGAUCUAUGCCUGGCCAGGAUGAAGCCAGAGGAAACUCUGGUGGAGGUCCGUAGCGAUUCUGACGUGCAAAUCGAUCGUCGGAG
rnacentral:rRNA from 1 species